rnacentral:lncRNA from 1 species
AAAAAAAAAUUUACGCAUUUUUGAAAAUUGAAAAAUUGAAACAAGGUUUAAAAACUCUAAUUAUUGUUGAUUUAUCGUCAUAACAAUCAAUAAAUGUCAGAUUUCCAUGGCACACUUGGAGAAAAUAGAGGUAUACCUAUUAGAACUUUAUCAUUACUACCAGCAUCAAUUAUUACUUCAUAAUUUUCAAA